rnacentral:rRNA from 1 species
AUUGAACGCUGGCGGCAGGCCUAACACAUGCAAGUCGAACGAGUGGCGGACGGGUGAGUAAUGUCUGGGAAACUGCCUAAUGGAGGGGGAUAACUACUGGAAACGGUAGCUAAUACCGCAUACCAUCAGAUGUGCCCAGAUGGGAUUAGCUUGUUGGUGGGGUAAAGGCUCACCAAGGCGACGAUCCCUAGCUGGUCUGAGAGGAUGACCAGCAACACUGGAACGGAGACACGGUCCAGACUCCUACGGGAGGCAGCAGUGGGGAAGAUUGCACAAUGGGCGCAAGCCUGAUGCAGCCAUGCCGGGUGUAUGAAGAAGGCGUUCGGGUUGUAAAGUACUUUGAGUAGGGAGGCGGUAGCCGCAGAAGAAGCACCGGCUAACUCCGUGCCAGCAGCCGCGGUAAUUC